rnacentral:tRNA from 1 species
AGUAUGGUGCAAUGGUCAGCAUACCAGGCUCAUGUCCUGGAGAUAGAAGUUCAAUUCUUCUUACUG